rnacentral:rRNA from 1 species
UACGGAGGGGGCUAGCGUUGUUCGGAAUUACUGGGCGUAAAGCGCACGUAGGCGGCUUUGUAAGUUAGAGGUGAAAGCCCAGGGCUCAACCCUGGAAUUGGCCUUUAAGACUGCAUCGCUAGAAUUGUGGAGAGGUAAGUGGAAUUCCGAGUGUAGAGGUGAAAUUCGUAGAUAUUCGGAAGAACACCAGUGGCGAAGGCGACUUACUGGACACAUAUUGACGCUGAGGAGCGAAAGCGUGGGGAGCGAACAGG